rnacentral:rRNA from 1 species
AGAGUUUGAUCCUGGCUCAGAACGAACGCUGGCGGCAGGCCUAACACAUGCAAGUCGAGCGCGCCCUUCGGGGUGAGCGGCGGACGGGUUAGUAACGCGUGGGAACGUGCCCAGAUCUAAGGAGUAGCCACUGGAAACGGUGAGUAAUACCUUAUACGCCCUUCGGGGGAAAGAUUUAUCGGAUUUGGAUCGGCCCGCGUUAGAUUAGGUAGUUGGUGGGGUAAUGGCCUACCAAGCCUACGAUCUAUAGCUGGCUUUAGAGGAUGAUCAGCAACACUGGGACUGAGACACGGCCCAGACUCCUACGGGAGGCAGCAGUGGGGAAUCUUGGACAAUGGGGGCAACCCUGAUCCAGCCAUGCCGCGUGAGUGAUGAAGGCCUUAGGGUCGUAAAGCUCUUUCGCCUGUGAUGAUAAUGACAGUAGCAGGUAAAGAAACCCCGGCUAACUCCGUGCCAGCAGCCGCGGUAAUACGGAGGGGGUUAGCGCUGUUCGGAAUUACUGGGCGUAAAGCGCGCGUAGGCGGAUUAGUCAGUUAGAGGUGAAAUCCCAGGGCUCAACCCUGGAACUGCCUUUAAUACUGCUAGUCUUGAGUUCGGGAGAGGUGAGUGGAAUUCCGAGUGUAGAGGUGAAAUUCGUAGAUAUUCGGAGGAACACCAGUGGCGAAGGCGGCUCACUGGCUCGAUACUGACGCUGAGUGCGAAAGUGUGGGGGAGCAACAGGAUUAGAUACCCUCUAGUCCACACCGUAAACGAUGAUGCAGUCGUCGGCAGCAUGCU